AUAUAUAUCUAAUAUAAGAACAUGGACACAUUGGAGGCACUCUUGAGAUGCUCUUGCUUCUAAUUUCACCCUGUCCCACUAAAUAUUUUUGUUUCCACCCAAGCCUCAUCCUAACCAUAUUGAUAUAAUUGUUCAUCCUAAUUUGUCAUAUAUCAUUCUCCAAUGGAGAGAAGACAACAGCUGAGAGUGUUGCAGAUGCCAUUUUUGAGAAUUGAGCCGAGUUGGUGCAUCUUCCUUCCACCAUGGAUCUUCAUGUGCCACUGCCAUCCAACGACUGCCCAAGUUGUGAUGGAUCGGAGAUGAAGAGUUAGUGUAAUGAGAAAAGAUCCGAGUUUAUCUCUUGUCAGAAAUUUGUUGAGAGAUGCAAAAUAUGGUUAAAGAAUUCAAGAACUUAGUUUUUCAA